UUCUCUUUUAUUUCCUUCCAUUCUUCCAUUUUCUUCUGAAUGUAGGUUGCUCUCACUCUCUUUUUUUCUACUCCGCCUAAUCCCAUCUUCUCAUUUUAACUCCCCAUUUUAUUUUUUUUUGUUUUUCCCCCAUUUCAGGUGAGCUUCCACGGUAUAACAAUUUCGUUUUUGGUUUCGCAUUUCCUUCCAUCGGUGAGCUUCUUCUCUUCUACACCCAUUUUUUCUUCUUUUCAUGUUUGAUCAUCAAUUUGGCUGUAAACCCAUCUUUAAUUAUGCUUAUUUACCUGCUUUUUUUUUCCUUCACACACUGACAGACCGUAAUUUAAGGAUCAAUCAAUGGUUUUUGCCUUUCUCCCUAAUUAUAUAAUUUUUCAACUUAGUACUAUAAUUACAUCCUUGCUAACUUGGUUGGUUUUGAAGAGAUGAUUACAUGAUUAACCUAUGUUGAGUUAAUGUAUAUAUUGGGUUUUUCGGCAAGCCAAGAUUCUAGGAGUUCAUCAAUAAUUAUAGAACCAAUUAUUGAUAAGCAAGUAAUUGAAGUAGCUAAUUAUACAAAAUGAUUGACUGCCAUAGAAAUACGUAGUUCAUUGCUAAAGAAUUUUCAUUUCGGUGAAUACUAAUAUUAAAACUAAGUUAUAUGGUGAUCUUACAAUGUUCUAUUGAAUAGUUUUUCGAGAACUAACUUGGUGAGGACAAAAGUAAGCAAUUACGCUAAUGUUCUAUUUUUUAGCCAAUUUGCAAUCUUUAGGAAUAUAAACAAAGUUAAUUCCAAACUUGCUCUCAAAACUGAACUUUUCCAUGAUUUGUUUUGUAUAAGAGACAAUUUUAUUCAAUUUUACUCCUGUUUAGACAUUUUUACCUUAAAUUAUUGCAGUCAUAGAAAUCUCUGCGUCUAUAAAUAUCUAUUUGUUUUAAAAUUGUUUCAGUGGUUUAUAAACCGUGCAGACUCCCAAAAUUUGACAUGGUUGCUUAUUUUUCAUCUUUUUUUUAUGAUUACAUCUUUAGCAUGUCUUACCUUUUAUUAAUUUUAAUUUAUAUUGUGUAAUUUCUUUAGAGAACAAAUAAAAUUUUGGUUUAGUUUAAAAUUUUUUAUGUUAUUAAUAUGCUUUUCGGUAUUUUCAUAACUUGUGCAGAAAAUUAAAUUUGGAUGGACAAAGAUUUGUAAUUUUGCUUUAAAGAAUUUGGAUAUGUAGUUUUUUGGAGAAAAGAUUAAUCCAUAUUUCAUAAUUCUUUUAAAUAUUAACUUUGGUAGAUAGUGUGAAUCUUUUAGUCUGGGACAAGUAGCCCUAGGGCUUCCCCACCUGUAAGAAUUAUUCAAGAGUCCACUGGUGGCUUUCGUUUCAACGGGUGCUCGGAAUAAUUAUGGACAAAUGCAAUGUACAAAAAUAUAUUGUUUCCCCUCAUAAAAUAUUUCUGUAGGAAGGUUCCUACAUCCUUCGUCACCAGUGUUAUGAGCAAGGCUUCAUUAUACCCAUUUUAUAUAUACACCAAUUAUGAUUAAUUUGAUUAAGGUUAUUUUACUUUGUUUUUCUUUUCUUCUGUUAAAUGAAAAAAUUCAUAAGCAUGGACUGAUGGAUACAUCUAAAUAUAACAAUAUUAAUUCUAAUUGGAACAUUCUUUGGUGUCAAUUAUAAAAACAAUAUGCUUAACUUAUAUAAUUAAGAGUUCUGAAGUAUGAAGUUAUAAAUUUAACACUAGAAUAUUUCUUGAUACAAUUCUAGAUUUAAAAUACAAAUUCUCGCACCCAUCAAAUGAUAAGAUAUUUCAUUUUUUUCUUUUUUUAAAUAAUUAAGUAUAAGUUCUUUAAUUGAUAAUUUUAAAAAAUAAACAAUUCUUGAAGUAUUUGUUUGUUAUAUUAUGACAUGUAGGAAAAUAUUAUCUUGUUGAUUUUGAAUAUUUUUAAAUGAAAGGUUAUCUUGGACCAUAUAAAGGUCAGGGAUAUUAGUUACCUGACUUUCGUAGGGGCAUAUUGAUAUCUGGUAAAUAAGAGAUAUUCAAUUAUUCACAUUUAUCAUUAUGUACUGUGAUUGAACGAAUUUUUGGUGUUUUGAAAAAAAAAGGGUCAUUUUAAGGGAUAUGCCAAGUUCUAGUUUUGAAAAACAAAUGAUGGUCGUUGUUGCUACAAUGGCAAUACACAAUUUUAUCCGGAAACAUGUUAGUUUAAAUGAUGUAGAUUUUAUGAAAUACAAAAAUAUUAAUAGGCCAUAUGAUAAUAUUAUUGAUCUAGAAGAUGUGCAUGAUGGAGAAAGUGAUGAUGAUGGUAGUGGUGGUGAAUCAAACAAUUCAAGUGAUUUUGAAAUGGAAUUAAUUAGAGAUGAUAUAGCUUCUAGUUUAAUGAAUUCAUUUCAAAUUGUAAAUGCUAAUGUAAAAUUUUGAUGAUUUAUUUGGCAUAUAAAUAUUACCCCUCUUCGAAACUUUAAUCCAUGUAAUAUUUUAAUUUGUUAGGUUUAUGUUUUUUAUGUUAUGUUAAUAUCUAAUAUGGGUUAUGUAUUCAAAUUGUAUUUUAAAAUAAAAUAAUACAAAUGUGUUAAAAUCAUUAAUUAAAUAAUAUUUUUUAAUACUGUGUUAGUCUCUAAUUACAAAUAUUUAAUGAUUAUAUUUAAAUAUUUAAAAUAUAGUUUAUAUAUUGUAAUUAAAUUUUAUAAAUAAUUAAUAUUAAUUACUUAGAAAUAUUUAAAAUUAAUAUUUCAUAUAUUAAAAUAUUAACAAUAAGUUAUAAUAAAUUAAUUUUUAUAUUCUUGCUAAUAUUAACUAAUUUAAACAUUAUUUAAAUACAUAUUUGUUAUUUUAUAAUAUCAUGUCUAAAAUAAAUAUUUUAUUUCUCAAAAGCAGUUUUUGACAGAAAUGCUAAACACUUAAAAUUUAAAAUAAAAUUUUCAAAAGUAUUUUUCAAAAGUACGUUUUCACCAUAUUUUUUAAAAACAUCUUUUAAAAAUAUUGCUAAACUAGCGCUAGUGUUUUAACAACUUGUUACCGUUUCCUUGAUUUUAGGUCACCUAUUUUUCUAACAUAACACAUAAAAUGAAAAAAAAAAAACCUAAGUCCCAUUCUUAUAACAUUUUGACUUUUCUCAUUACCAACAAUCUGACUCAUUAUUUUCUCUCUAACUUGAUCUGUUUCUAAACUCAUGUCAUGAUUAAUAAUUUCUCUUUUUGUUCAUACCAAUAAACAACUUAACACACAAGAUAAACAACUUCCCUUGGAAGUCUUUCUCCCCACAAGUAUUCAAUCAUUCUCUAAUUUUUUCCCUUCAUCUAUAGUAAAAAAAUAUAUACAUAUAACAUGUAGUAAAUCUAAUAGCAAAAGUAUUUACUCUUUUAGCUUGGAAUCUUUGGAGGUCUAAGAAAGUUUUAGUAAUUCAAAGAAAUACCAGCGCCUUCGGUUGAGCUACCAACAAUCAAACAUUUUAUUAUAAAUAUCGAACAAAGUAAAUUUAGCUGUUAAAAGUAAUCCCAUAAUGCGUAGAAAAUUUCUCUUUUAACACUUGAAUGUGAAGGGGGUUUUUAGCGUGAACCUUUUUUGAUAACUCAAACAUGAUAUAAAUAGGUAAAAGAAAAUCUGGUAAGUUAAUUUAUUGAAAACAAUAUUAAAUUUAAAAGAGUUCUAAAAUUCUUAAAAAAGGUAAAAAAAUCUGCUAUGUUAAUUUAUUGAAAACAAAAUUAAAUCUAUAAGAGUUCUAAAAUUCUUAAAAAGAAAAUAGAUAAUGAUAACUUUUACUAUUAAUAUCCAAAACCAAUUGAUAGGUAAAAAAUGAUACAUAAUUUAGACAAAUUGAUAAGAUUAUUGAAAUGUCUUCUCCGUUGUUAAGAAAUAAUUUGCACAAUUAAAGUGGUGCCUAAGAUGGUGGACACUCCUUUAAGUACUAAAUGGUUGAUAGUAAAGAAAUUGACCAUAAGAAGGUUGUUUAUGCAAUUCGAUUUUCCUACGUCUGCGAAGCCUAUGUUAAUGAAAAAUAUGCACUCUCUUCAACAAUUAAAAAGUGAACCUACUCAAUCAAACCCACUGUGAUAAAUUUCCUCACCCUCGUACUUUGAAGAUACAAUACUCUUACCACUAUAUUCACCCCCUCGUGAAUAGAGUAAGUAAAACCACCACAAAAAAAGUUUUACUAUCAAUAUAGCACUCAUACAAAAUUAUUCUCACAAGAACAGAUUAAGUGCUUAACUUUCUGUACAUUCACUUAGGUAAGUCUCUCAAAUAUAUAGAUUUUAAUUUUGAAACUUGCUUAAAAAUGAAGAUCUAAUACAAUACCACUAAAACAACAAUAUCAUAAGAAGAAUACAUUAUAAUAAUAACAUAAAAAUAAAUUAAGGACUCUUGGUGGCUCAUCCAACAAAAUAACUAUUCAUCCAAAGUCCACAAUCUGAGGGAUUGUCUCGAGAAAUUUUGGAACAAUCCAAUCACCAAAAUAACAUUUUUCAAGUAAUAUGAUCUUCCAUAAUUGACAAGAUAUCAUCCAUAUAAUCAGCAUAACUCAGAUAAAAGUUUCAAUAAAUUUCCCACCCCUUAAUAUGGAAAUUGUCUCCAUACAGAUUUGGUGGGCAAGAGAGUGACACUUCCUCUGACAUGAAAUUGUCACAUUCAUAUUUUAAAACAAUUACAGUGAAAAUCUUUAGAUUUCUUUUUAAAUUUUAACAAAAAGUUGUUAAAAUAUUUUUAACUAUGUAAUUAUAAUUGAUAGCACAUUUAAAAUUUAAAGAGUUGUAAAAAUAUUAAACAAUUUAUAAAAUCUAAAGUUAAUUUUUUUUGGUGAAAAGGAAAAAGCGACACAAAUAUAAGAAAUUAAACUAUCCCUCCCAUGGGGGAUCCUUAAACAAUCUUAAUCAUAUUCUCUUGCCUUGAACCAUCUUGGCAAGGUCAUCUACGAUUUCAUUUUCUUCUCUAGGAAUAUAUUAUAAUCUCUAUAUCCCUAUGGAUGCUAAGAGCUGGUGAAUUCUCCUAACCAAAAAAGAACUAGAAUCUCUAAAUGAUCUACCUUGAAUGGCGUUAACAGUUUCAAGUCUGCUAGUUUGAAUUAGAACACUCUUAAAACCCCGAUCUAGUAUAAGUGUUAGCCCAUCCAAUAUGCCUCAUAGUUCAACAUCUAGUAUAGUGCAACUACCUAAAUAUCCAUUAAAGCCAAAGAUCUACCUUCCGUUUUGAUCGCACACUAACCCCCUAGAUGCAACAAACCCAACAUCGAACCUAACAAAAGACCUGUACUUAAUCACACCUAAUUACUUGUCAAGGGUGAACUAACGGUUCUUUUUUGUGUCUUAGAUGUUGACGCCUUAAAGACAGAAGCAUACUGCUUUGCCUAACGGUAAGACUCUUUGAUGAUUGCACCAACACUCCAUGAGAUGCUCGAAAAAGUGAAAAGAUUACGGUUCUUCGAGAUGCGCCAAGUAAGAAUCCUGAAGAGGCAGUGCCAAUCCACCCUUCCCAAACGAAAGGUUUGUUGAUUAUGCAGAUUCUCCAACAUCCACUCUUGAAGAGAUUUGGAGAAAAAACUAGAGAGUCUUUUUGUUGGAAUUAGAUCAUUCCAAAUGUCUCUAGUCGCAAGAUAAUCCAUAAGGACAGGUCACACAUCCUUGAAAUCAUGCUCGCAGACUCCAGAGCAUUAUUGUUUCCUAUGCACCGCUUUACACUUUCCACUUUAGUGAGCAAACACUAUUUAAGAACAAGACCUGUACCCUUUGAGGGCAUUGAAACUUUUAAGGAAACUACAAAACUGUCUCUUUAGAAUUCCAUGAUCCAUCUCAAAGCUUCCUAUAGGCACCUUUAAAGGGAGAAGGAACAGGUCAAAGUACCCCCAAAUAAUUCUAUCAGGUUCAAGAGUCAAAUGGGGCAACAGAAUCCCCAUAAUCCUACUAAUGAUCCCAUCAAGUACCCAUAACUGAAAGAGUUCCAAAUUCCAAAAAUCAUCGUCCAUAACCAUAUCAUUAAGUGAAAAAUCCAUAUCAACGUUAGAAAUGGAAGGAAUUUGUCUAAAUAGGGGCCCAACAUUCGAAAUCCAAUUGUCCUACCAGCAAUUGAUGCUUUUCCCAUCCUUAACAGACCAAAGUAAUUUCUCACAAAUUAGAGGCCAAGCCUUAGAGGUGGUCCUCUAUAAGAAAGAGCAUCUCCCUUUCGCUAACGUCUCACGCAAACCACUUUGAACCCAUACUUUUUUGCACCAUUGGAGGAUCCCAAAUAAAUUGUUUGACCAUAUGCUCAAUUUCAUCAUACAAGCCUUUAGGUAUCAUCAUUGACUGCAUAAAAUAACUCAAAAUUGAAAGCAAGACCGAUUGUGCCAAAGUAGCCCUACUAGCUAAAGAAAGUUUUUUAGCGUCCCAACUAAAAACCUUACUACUGACCUUAACAACAACAAAUCUUGAAGUGUUGUUAGUGACCUUAUCAUGAAAUAGGGUAACUCCUAGAUAGGAACCAAGAUUUUACACUUCUUAAAAGCCGAAGAUUUAAACGCCCAUAUGUCCUCUUUCACACCUUUCGAAAAAAAUGUUAGUUUUUCGCAUAUUAAUCUGGUGACCCAAAAACUCAUAGAAAUUCUCUAGUACUUUAUUAAUUACCCUAACUUGAUACUCUUCUGCUUGACCAAAGAGAAUCAAAUCAUCUACAAAAAAAAAAAAGAUGAGACAGGGGUGGACCUGUUCAAGACAAAUGAAUAAGGGACCAUUUACCAGAGUCAAUGGACGAACAAAUAUUAUGGCUUAAUCGCUCCAAACACAAGACAAAUAGAUAAGGUGACAGCGAACCUCUUUGACGGACAACCCUUGUCAGCCGAAACUUAUGAGUUGGAACCUCAUUCCACAGAAUCCGCAUAGUAGAACUUGAUAUAGCUGACAUAAUGACAUUAUGGAGUAGGUUAAGAAUACCUGCUGCCUAGAGAGACGUAUCGAUGAACUCCCAACGCACUUGAUCAUACGCUUUUUCUAGAUCAAUUUCAAUGGCCAUCCAUUUCCUAUUCUUCUAAUUAACCUCCUCUGCGAUGAUAAUGUUGUUGGUGAUAUUCCUACCCACAAUGAAGUCAACCUACUCAGGAGCAAUAAUAUUUUGGAAGACAACUUUGAAUCGAUUGACAGUGACCUUCAUAACUAGUUUGUAAAGGAUCAAGUGUAAGCUUAUUGGACGAAAGUGUGAAAAGACCCUAUUAACCCAAUUACAUAUAGAGGCACCGACAUGCUCCCGCUGAGCCUAAUAGAAUAGUAUAUGGAACCCAUGAUUGACUGGAGCCUUUAGAGGUGUCAAAUCAAAUAGAGCUGCCUUAAUUUCAUCGUCUGACACUGGUUUACUUAGGAAUCAGACCUCUCUGUCCUCAAGAUAAGGGAAAACGCAAUCAAUAAAUUUGUUAUCGGUCUUGGAUGCUCACCAUAUAACUUCUCAAAAAAUUUAACUGCCUUGUUUUUUAGUUAUUCCUCAUAAAAAAUCCAAUCUCCUAGAUUAUUUUUCAGAGCGACAAUCCGAUCUUGUUUCCUCCUCUAGAACGUACGUCUAUGGAAAAAUUUAGUGUUAUGGUCACCCAGAUAUAACAAGUCACACAUUGCCUUUUAACACUAUAAAAGUUCCUCAAGAAGAAGAACACUUUCCAACUCCUCUCUUACAUCUAUUUCAACCUGGUUUUGUCACACCCCAAAAUUGGGCCUAGAAGUUUCGAGAGUAAUUUAGGGAUUUACUCUCAAAAUGUGUUCAAAAAUUUGAAGCAUGGUAAACAAGAAAUAUCUUCGUCGAUGGCUUUUACGAAGUUAAUAAAAUUUUUGAAAAAGAAGUAGAAAAGACCUUUAAUUUUAAAAUGUAGACUAUUUUGUAAAAGGGGUUAAAAUUAGGAGUACCUCAAAGGUAAAUAUACCAAAGUUUAAAAUUGACCUAUUCCUUCCCUCCACCUACAGUAAACUCACUAAAGCUGUUCCCCUCACCUCUUUUUGCUAUCCCUUGAUUUUCCAAACUUCAAUCCUUAUAAUUUGCACCAUCUCUCAAGCACUAAACCUCCCUAGAAUUUUAAAAAAAUAUAAAAAUGUCAUUGAUUUAGCUAUUGUUCAAAUUGUAGGUUUUCUUAGAUUGACUGUCAAACGUUCAUUUUUAUCUAAAUGAAGGUAAUGUUUCAUUUUCCUAUUAGUUUUUGAUGAAAUCUAGCCUUUUAAAUUGAGCUUUUAUUCAUUGAAUCAAAAGUUAUGAAUAUAUGUUGAAAUUUGGGACGUUAAUGGUGGAAUUCAAGAAUUUGAAUGAAAACGAUGUUUCAAAGUGUUUUUCAACUUGUUUUGAUGUGCUUAUAAGGUUUCUAAACUUUUAUUAAAGUUUCGUUAAAGAAUUCUAAGGUUUUAUUGAGUUUUCAUAAAAAUCACCAUUGUACCUCGAAAUUUUGGAACCAUGAAUCUAUGUAGUUUUGUGUAGUUUGAAGAUUGAGAAUACUUUUUACGUAAUUAAUUUUAGGACUGGACUCAGUUUUAGGCAAAGCGAUUGAGUAAAAAUUAAGAUAUUUGGGUUUUGGAUUUGCAAGUUGAAAAUUUCAGUUCUAAGAGGAAGGAACCUUAGACCUGGGUUUUUGAUUGCUUUGGUGUGUCUAUAGCUGUGAAUUACUUAUGUUUGCUAUGUGGUUAAGUUUGGUGAAGAUUCGAAAUCGUUGGAGCCUUCAACGAGUAAAGAUAAAAAAUAGGGAAAGCUAGUUUAAUGGUGAGUGUUUACAAUCACUACUAGUAGACAUGAUUUAUAGGGUUAAUUGGGAGCUUAGGAGUAGCCUAAACCCCUACUCUAAGUUUCAAGUGUAAGCUUUUUUUAUAGCCGUCCUUUAAUUCGCAAAAUAUAUUAUUAUGUGAUGUGAAUUGAGUAUUAAGUUGUGAUAAUGUGACAUAUGAUAUAUACUUGUGAUGGCUAUUGUGAAUGUGUUAAUUUUGGGUAUGUUAUGCAUACCGAAUGACAGUGACGAUGUUGUGCUUAUAAUGUGAAUAUGCAGUGAAAGUGUGCAGAAAAUGGUAAGUAAAAAUAUGUGGAGAUUUAAAGGUCCAAUUGACGUUGAAGCAAAGGGCGAGUGAUGCACAAGCUUCCUAGGAUGUCAAAGCAAAAAAACGAACGAUACAAGUCAGAAUUUGCAUGUCGUGUCAUGCCAUAGACAUGAAUGGAGUGACACAGGUCGACUUCCUGCCAAUGUAUGAAAAAGUUAUUUUCGUCCACACAUUCAACAUUAUACAAAGACCUAGGGUGUGCGGAAGACCUAAUGUGGGCUGCUAGCACCUCUAUAAAUAAUACAUUAGGGGUUUGAUGUAACUAAGUCAUCCUAGACGCACUCAAAAGCCCUAAUAGUUUAAGAGUAGGAGUAGAUUAAUUUUCUUUCGACUUUUUAUAACUUAUUUGUUUUUCCUCUUGGAAUCUGUUUUGAUCCAAAAGUUUAUUUAUAUUAUUCAAGUAUUUUAGUUCAUUUUUUC
rnacentral:lncRNA from 1 species